rnacentral:tRNA from 2 species
GUGGAUGUAGCUCAAUGGCAGAGCGCCUGAUUGUGGUUCAGGUGGUUGAGGGUUCGAGUCCCUUCAUCCACC